rnacentral:pre_miRNA from 1 species
AUUCAGAUCACCUGGAGAUCUUGUUAAAAUGCUGAUUCUGAUUCAGCGAGUCUGGGGAAGGACUAGAGAAUCUGCGUGUCUGACAAGCUCCCAGGUGAUGCUGCU